rnacentral:rRNA from 1 species
GACGAACGCUGGCGGUGUGCUUAACACAUGCAAGUCGAGCGGAAAGGCCCCUUGGGGUACUCGAGCGGCGAACGGGUGAGUAGCACGUGAGUAACCUGCCCUUAUCUUUGGGAUAACCCUCGGAAACGGGGGCUAAUACCGGAUAUGACAUUGCCGGGCAUCUGGUGGUGUGGAAAGUUUUUCGGAUAGGGAUGGGCUCGCGGCCUAUCAGCUUGUUGGUGGGGUGAUGGCCUACCAAGGCGACGACGGGUAGCCGGCCUGAGAGGGCGACCGGCCACACUGGGACUGAGACACGGCCCAGACUCCUACGGGAGGCAGCAGUGGGGAAUAUUGCGCAAUGGGCGGAAGCCUGACGCAGCGACGCCGCGUGAGGGAUGACGGCCUUCGGGUUGUAAACCUCUUUCACCCAUGACGAAGCGUAAGUGACGGUAGUGGGAGAAGAAGCACCGGCCAACUACGUGCCAGCCGCCGCUGUAAAAC